rnacentral:rRNA from 1 species
UGGGGGAUAUUGCACAAUGGGCGAAAGCCUGAUGCAGCGACGCCGCGUGGGGGAUGAAGGCCUUCGGGUUGUAAACUUCUUUUGCUCUGAACAAGGCGCACCAUGGGGUGUGUUGAGUGUAGGGGUUGAUUAGCGCCGGCUAACUACGUGCCAGCAGCCGCGGUAAUACGUAGGGCGCGAUCGUUGUCCGGAAUUAUUGGGCGUAAAGGGCUUGUAGGUGGCUGGUUGCGUCUGUCGUGAAAGCUCAUGGCUUAACUGUGGGUUUGCGGUGGGUACGGGCUGGCUUGAGUGCAGUAGGGGAGGCUGGAAUUCCUGGUGUAGCGGUGGAAUGCGCAGAUAUCAGGAGGAAUACCGGUGGCGAAGGCGGGUCUCUGGGCUGUUACUGACACUGAGGAGCGAAAGCAUGGGGAGCGAACAGG